GAGUGCGCAGGCGUGGGCAGCGAGGCAGUGCGGCCGGAAGCGAAGGGGCCGUGAGGUCAACAGUCGGUAAUCGUUUAUCGGUGCGGCCUUAGAGAAAGGACCUCCAAGCCCUUAUUCAAUACAUGUUGGGUGGUGGUCACAGGUCUUUGGAUAAUAACUUGACCCUUUCAACCGAUUGCCAAUGAGAAACUUUAAAAUCUAUCUAUGACCUGGAACACCCCCACCUACCCCAUUUCAAGUUGUCCCACCUUUCUGAACUGUCACGUGUGUCCACAGAGAAGACCACCUAAACAGGUUUUGUGCCAUCCAGGACAUGUGCAAGCCAGCGACACUACAGGCAGCUCUGGGAGCCAGUUUAUAUACCAACUCCCGAUGGUACGUUCAGCCUGCUGCCCAGGAAGGAAGCCAGUGCUGGCAGCUGGAAGGCGCCUGGCGUGUGUGGGAGCACCAAGAGCACGGGGAGAUGCACUGCAGCAGCCAGCACAGACCUACAGUCUGUUAUCACAGUCUCACUCUCUGUGAUAAGGAGGUUAAUAAGGUAAUAAGGAGGUUACAUUGCUGUUUCAAUUUGCUUUCCUUGACUAAAUUAUGUUUAACAUCUCUUCAUGCUCAAAAGUCUUUUAUAUGUCUUCUUCUGUGAAUUCUUUUGUGUCAUUUGCUCAUUUAUCUACUUGUAUGGUUUUUGCCUUGAAGAAAAUGUAAAUUUUAACUUAGUUAAAUGUAUAAAGUUUUAUCUUCAUAGCCUCUGGAUUUCUUUCUUUCUUCCCCUGAGAUAGACCUUCCCUAUUACAUGAAAAUUUUAAAAAUUCUCCAAUUUUUUUUCUAGUACAUUUAUAGUUUCUUUCCAUUUUGUAUUUGUUUUGCUGCUGGGACUCUGGACACUGUUCAUUGCCCUACUCAUCUCUUCCUUAUGUAUUUGGUUUGCUAUGUUUAUCAUAUUCAUUUUUUUUUUUUGAGUCAGUCUCGCUCUGUCGCCCAGGCCAGAAUGCAGGAGCACAGUCUCUGCUCACUGUAGCCUCAACCUCCUGGGCUCAAGUAUUUCCCUUACCAACCCUUCCUGAGUAGCUGGGACUAGAGGCUCACACCUCUACACACACCCAGCUAAUUUUUGUAUUUUUAGUGGAGACAGGGUUUCACUAUGACGCCCAGCCUGGUCUCGAACUCCUGGGCUCAAGGGAUCCGCCCGCCUUGGCCUCCCAAAGUGCUGGGAUUACAGGUGUGAGACACUUUGUCUGGCUGUUUAUCAUAUUCUUAAUUCCUGAUUGUAAAUUUAUUUCUGGACUCUUAUUUUCUCCCCUUGAGUCGUCUGCAUGUUCAUGUGCCAGCCCCACUGUUUGCAUUUCUGUAGCCUUGCAAAUGGUAUCUUUAUCUUAGACUUUUUAGUGUCUGGGAGUGACAGUGUCCCUCUCAAUGCUCUGCUUUUCCAGGAAUAUCUUGGUUAUUUCUUACAUGUUUGUUUUUCCCAGACGGCUUUAGAAACAGCAUGCCAGUUCUAGUAUCUGCUUCCUCCCCGCAUCCUCCAAAAGCAUUUGUGUUUUUACUGAGAAGAUGCUACAUUUAUACAUUAAAGACAUUUGACAGGAAACACAAAAAUACAGAUACAUAAGCAGGCCCCAGGUAUUUUUCAUAGUACUUAUUUGUCAGGUCCUGUUUUACAUAUAAAAGCAUGCAGGGCAUUUACCACCUUCUCUUCCGCAAAGUGCAUCAGUGUGGUGAGCAUGACAGGAACAGAAAAGGGGAAGGAAGCUGAGAUCCUGGCAGAAUAAAAUGUGGCAUGGAAUUAAAUAGUUAAUAUGUAAAUAUAAUGAAAUUAAUAGCAUUUAUCGACCAGUUAAGCACUUUAGUCCAUUAUCUCAGUUCAUAUUCACAACUUCUAUGAGGCAGGUGCUACUAAUACUAUCCUGAUUCAUCAAUAAAAAUGAAGCUCAGAAAGAUUAAGUCACUUUCACUCAACUAAUCAGCAGUAGAGCUGGAAUUUGAUCCAGCUGUAGACUCUGCACUCUCAACCUCCAAGCUGAGCUGAGCUGCUAAGUGAAGUUAACUGCUUCUGGGAGUCUGGGUAGAGAGAAAAAAGAGAAAUAUGUUUGCUGAAUCAAUUGCUGCCGGCCAAGGGCCAGGCCUUUGCACCUGGUAUCACAACUGACUGAAGCUGCAGAAUCCGCAGGAAUUCAGAGCCUGGGGCUCCUGCUGUGUGGGACACAGAAUGGGAAGAUGUGUCCCAGGUCUUUGUCAGAGGACGAAAUGCUGACAUUUCAGGAGGGAGGAAGACCCUUGCUGCUAUCGUGGCCCUUAAUCCUGAGGUUAGGGAGCCAAGGCGGGGGUCCUGUAGGGGUCUGAGAAUAUCCAUCCCAACCAUGUCUGCCCACCCUGCUCAGGGAGCCGCCUGCAGGGAGAACACAAAGUUCCACUGGGCUCGGGGCAGUGCCGGAGCUCCCUGCCGCCGGCCUCCUGGGAAGCACCAGCUCGCAGAGGGACCAGCUCGUGCUGGGAUCAGUGCCUGCUCUGAUACCUGGAAGUCCCUGGCAGCUUGGGGGCUUCCUUCUUGCUGGGGUGUGGUCUCCUGGUCAGAAGGUCCAGUCCUGCUGGAGAAGCCAGCUGAAGCCACUCGGCUCCCCUCAGGGCCUCCCAGGCUCCUUUCCCGAGGGUCUGGGUUGAUAACUAAGUUUGGUAAUCCCUUGAUGGGUUGAGGUUCUAGAGCAGUGGUUUCAAUGGUAGGGGUGCUUCCCUAGGGAACAUUUCAAAUGGCUGGAGACACUUAUAGUUGUCAUGGCCAGCAGCAGGGAGAGGGGUUCUGCUAGCAUCUGGUGGGUAAAGAGAAGGGGUGCUGCUAAGCAUCAUAGGAUGCACAGAACAGUGCCCUCCCUUGCUCCCCCUCCCCCACAAAAGACCCAAAGAAUUAUCUAGCCUAAAUUGUCAACAGUGUCAGGGCUUGGACAUCCUGUCUUCGAGGGCUUCAGUUAGCACCGAAACCCUUGGGAGGUGGUUUAAAAUGUGGAGUCUAGAAUCCCCUAAACCCGUAGGGUGCAGUGUGGGACCCAGGACCUGUACUUUCAAGCACUCCAGAUUAUUCUAUUACAGGUAGACCAUACUCCACAUUGACAAGUAGCACAGCAGGCUGCACCCGGUGCAUGAUUCCUGAACUGUGGCCCUGUGUGGGUCUGCCUGUGGCAGAGGCAGCUGGAGAGCUGGCUAAAGCCCCAGCCUCCUUCAUCCCUGGAGGUUCUCUUGUAAUAGACAUGGCUUCCAUCCCAGAAUUCCAUGGGUUGUUUUGUUUGGCUUGAGUGAUUUUUUUUUUCUAUUAUUUUUAAGUCGACAAAAAUUGCAUACAUGUAGGUAUAUACCAUGUUUGGAAAUGUGUACACAUUGUGAAAUGGCUAAAUUGAGCUAAUAACAAAUGCAUUACCUCACUUUUCAUUUUGUGAAAUCUCCUCUCAUCGAUUUCCAAGCAUACAACACACUGUUGGGCACUUUCUCGCCAUGGGCUGCACACCAGGCCUCUUGGACUUACUCCUCUUGUCUAACUGAAAUUCUCUAUCUUUUGACCAAUAUUUCCCCAAUGAGAGAUUCGUAUUUGGAUUCGCUAACCCAGUAUGUGGCCUAAAUCCACACAGGACUCUGGUCAUCUGCCCUCAUCUUCCAGUGCCACAAGUCAAGCAAACCUGUGGUGCCUACCAGCUGAUCUCAUUCCCGGAAGCCCAAAGCUUUAUCAACAGGUCACUUCCAGCACACAGAUAAGGAGAUUAGCCACGCCUCUCACUUCACCUCUGGCUCCUCGCUUUUCCAGAAUUAUCAACUAUCCUAUUUCUGUUCAAAGCAGCCAAAAU